AUACAGAGGGUGCGAGCGUUAAUCGGAAUUACUGGGCGUAAAGCGUGCGUAGGCGGCUUAUUAAGUCAGAUGUGAAAUCCCCGGGCUCAACCUGGGAACUGCAUCUGAUACUGGUAAGCUAGAGUUUUGGAGAGGGAAGUAGAAUUUCAGGUGUAGCGGUGAAAUGCAUAGAGAUCUGAAGGAAUACCAGUGGCGAAGGCGACUUCCUGGCCAAAAACUGACGCUGAGGUGCGAAAGCGUGGGUAGCAAACGGGAUUAGAUACCCUUGUAGUCC
rnacentral:rRNA from 1 species